AGUGAACGCUGGCGGUAGGCCUAACACAUGCAAGUCGAACGGCCGCACAGUAAGCGCUUGCUCUUACGGGUGGCGAGUGGCGGACGGGUGAGGAAUACAUCGGAAUCUACUUUUUCGUGGGGGAUAACGUAGGGAAACUUACGCUAAUACCGCAUACGACCUACGGGUGAAAGCAGGGGAUCUUCGGACCUUGCGCGAUUGAAUGAGCCGAUGUCGGAUUAGCUAGUUGGCGGGGUAAAGGCCCACCAAGGCGACGAUCCGUAGCUGGUCUGAGAGGAUGAUCAGCCACACUGGAACUGAGACACGGUCCAGACUCCUACGGGAGGCAGCAGUGGGGAAUAUUGGACAAUGGGCGCAAGCCUGAUCCAGCCAUACCGCGUGGGUGAAGAAGGCCUUCGGGUUGUAAAGCCCUUUUGUUGGGAAAGAAAAGCAGCAGGUUAAUACCCCGCUGUUCUGACGGUACCCAAAGAAUAAGCACCGGCUAACUUCGUG
rnacentral:rRNA from 1 species